rnacentral:lncRNA from 1 species
GGACACAUCUUACUUGACAGAGAUUGGUAGUACAAACAUGUGGAGUUCACAGCUAAGUGUUGAUUCCUUCUCAGCAGCACUAACUUUUUUUUAUAGUCUAUGGCUUUAGCUAUACAUGCAAGAUAUUUCUGUUCAUACUUUGAUUUUUUUAUCUUACAAAAUAACAAGUUUCCUUACUGCUUUUUUAUACAUACUUCAGUUGACCCACUCCAGUACAUACCAUCCCUCUCCUUCCAUGAACCUGAUCCACCAUUUGAAAUAUCUUACAGACUGUUUUCUUGCUAUAUUCUCUUUUAACUUUAAAAAUUAUCCUUCUAAGCACAAGAAUAGUGUCUGAUUUCUAUUUCUCUUAUCAUCCAAUACGGUUUUGUUUGUCUAGGGGUAAAUUCUCUUUGUUAUGUGUUUCCAAAAAUUAAAAAAGAAUUCAGAUGUGGCAGUAUUUUUUAUUGUGUUGACAGUGACCUACCUCUUUUUCUAGUUCAUUUGUUAAGUUUUAUCUUAUGUGUAUGUUUGCUUUGCCUAUAUGCAUGUCCAUGUACCACUGGGAUUCUGGUGCCUGCAACAGCCAGAAUAGGGUAUGAGUUUGCCCAAAAUUGGAGUUACUGGUGCUUCUAUGCCACUGUAAGGAUGCUGAGAACUGAAUCCACGUCAUCUAGAAAAGCAACUAGUACUCUUAAUUGCUGAGACAUCUCUUCAGCCACAUGGCCAUGUUUUGUGACACUGUUUGCUUAUCUCUCUAUGAAAGAGAAAAAUGACACAAAAAGAUCAAGAUUUAUCAUCAACUCUGGCCACUCAAGGCCAGAAUCCAGGGCCAAAUGGCUGAUGAGUGAUACUGAAUGUACUAUGUCGUAUUUAUUUCCUUUUUUUUUACAUUGUAUUAUAAUUU